AAUCAACGCUGGCGGCGUGCCUCAGACAUGCGAGUCGAACGAUUAAAGCUCUCUUCGGAGAGUGCAUAGAGUGGCGCACGGGUGAGUAACACGUAAGUAAUCUACCCUCGAGUGGGGAAUAACGUCCGGAAACGGACGCUAAUACCGCAUAAUGCAGCGGCACCGCAAGGUGACAGUUGUUAAAGAUUUAUCGCUUGAGGAGGAGCUUGCGGCAGAUUAGCUAGUUGGUAAGGUAAUGGCUUACCAAGGCUACGAUCUGUAACCGGUCUUAGAGGACGGUCGGUCACACUGACACUGAAUAACGGGUCAGACUCCUACGGGAGGCAGCAGUCGGGAAUUUUGGGCAAUGGGCGAAAGCCUGACCCAGCAACGCCGCGUGAAGGAUGAAGUAUUU
rnacentral:rRNA from 1 species